AGAGUUUGAUCAUGGCUCAGGAUGAACGCUGGCGGCGUGCUUAACACAUGCAAGUCGAGCGGGGAACGGAUGGUAGCUUGCUACCGUUUGUUUCUAGCGGCGGACGGGUGAGUAACGCGUGAGCAACCUGCCUUUAUCAGGGGGAUAACGCAUCGAAAGAUGUGCUAAUACCGCGUAAGACCACAGCUUCACAUGGAGCGGGGGUCAAAGGAGCAAUCCGGAUAAAGAUGGGCUCGCGUCCGAUUAGCUAGUUGGUGAGAUAACAGCCCACCAAGGCGACGAUCGGUAGCCGACCUGAGAGGGUGAUCGGCACAUUGGAACUGAGAGACGGUCCAGACUCCUACGGGAGGCAGCAGUGGGGAAUAUUGGGCAAUGGGCGAAAGCCUGACCCAGCAACGCCGCGUGAGGGAAGAAGGGUUUCGGCUCGUAAACCUCUGUCCUAUGGGACGAAGGAAGUGACGGUACCAUAGGAGGAAGCCCCGGCUAACUACGUGCCAGCAGCCGCGGUAAUACGUAGGGGGCGAGCGUUGUCCGGAAUGAUUGGGCGUAAAGGGCGCGUAGGCGGCCUGCUAAGUCUGGAGUGAAAGUCCUGCUUUCAAGGUGGGAAUUGCUUUGGAUACUGGUGGGCUGGAGUGCAGGAGAGGAAAGCGGAAUUACCGGUGUAGCGGUGAAAUGCGUAGAGAUCGGUAGGAACACCAGUGGCGAAGGCGGCUUUCUGGACUGAAACUGACGCUGAGGCGCGAAAGCGUGGGGAGCAAACAGGAUUAGAUACCCUGGUAGU
rnacentral:rRNA from 1 species